UACGUAGGGUGCAAGCGUUGUCCGGAAUUAUUGGGCGUAAAGGGCUCGUAGGCGGUCUGUCGCGUCGGGAGUGAAAACUCAGGGCUUAACCCUGAGCCUGCUUCCGAUACGGGCAGACUAGAGGUAUGCAGGGGAGAACGGAAUUCCUGGUGUAGCGGUGAAAUGCGCAGAUAUCAGGAGGAACACCGGUGGCGAAGGCGGUUCUCUGGGCAUCACCUGACGCUGAGGAGCAAGAAGUGGUGGGAGACG
rnacentral:rRNA from 1 species